UCAGACGUGGUGUGGGGACACCCUCGCCUUACAUUCCGCCAGUAGAGAAUAUACAACGAGCGUCGGGGUUCGACUCCCCGCGUCUGAG